rnacentral:rRNA from 1 species
CGAGAUUACCCGCUGAACUUAAGCAUAUCAAUAAGCGGAGGAAAAGAAACCAACAGGGAUUGCCCUAGUAACGGCGAGUGAAGCGGCAACAGCUCAAAUUUGAAAUCUGGCUCUUUUAGAGUCCGAGUUGUAAUUUGCAGAGGGCGCUUUGGCUUUGGCAGCGGUCCAAGUUCCUUGGAACAGGACGUCACAGAGGGUGAGAAUCCCGUACGUGGUCGCUGGCUAUUGCCGUGUAAAGCCCCUUCGACGAGUCGAGUUGUUUGGGAAUGCAGCUCUAAAUGGGAGGUACAUUUCUUCUAAAGCUAAAUAUUGGCCAGAGACCGAUAGCGCACAAGUAGAGUGAUCGAAAGAUGAAAAGCACUUUGGAAAGAGAGUCAAACAGCACGUGAAAUUGUUAAAAGGGAAGCGCUUGCAGCCAGACUU